rnacentral:rRNA from 1 species
AGUGAACGCUGGCGGUAGGCCUAACACAUGCAAGUCGAACGGCAGCACAGUAAGAGCUUGCUCUUACGGGUGGCGAGUGGCGGACGGGUGAGGAAUACAUCGGAAUCUACUUUUUCGUGGGGGAUAACGUAGGGAAACUUACGCUAAUACCGCAUACGACCUACGGGUGAAAGCAGGGGAUCUUCGGACCUUGCGCGAUUGAAUGAGCCGAUGUCGGAUUAGCUAGUUGGCGGGGUAAAGGCCCACCAAGGCGACGAUCCGUAGCUGGUCUGAGAGGAUGAUCAGCCACACUGGAACUGAGACACGGUCCAGACUCCUACGGGAGGCAGCAGUGGGGAAUAUUGGACAAUUGGCGCAAGCCUGAUCCAGCCAUACCGCGUUGGUGAAGAAGGCCUUCGGGUUGUAAAGCCCUUUUGUUGGGAAAGAAAAGCAGCAGGUUAAUACCCCGCUGUUCUGACGGUACCCAAAGAAUAAGCACCGGCUAACUUCGUG